ACCAGAUGAACCGUUUUAUGCAUGUUUUUUUUUUUUGGGGUGGUCGUGAGUUGAGGCGGAGAGAAGGAGGAGGACGGUCACGGUGGGAGGGAAGAAGUUUUUGAACAUGACUCAUCAUCAGUGAUCAAAUCUGACAUGGCUGCUGAAACCCCUACAACUUCACCUUUGCUGAUCGAUAUGAUCGCAUCAGAGAUGAUCUCCGAGACUCUACUUUGAAGCGUCGGAUCACUUGAAUGGUCAAACAGAGAGGACCCCACGUCUGUUCUCGAACAGUUUACAUACCCCCAUGGUCCGCACAAAGCUGCUUCUGAAUGGCAAGCUGGUAGAUGAAUGGCAGAGGUGAGCAUACACCGAUGGAGGUGAAGCAAAGCGCUGGCAGCCCGUCAGUAGUCGUGAGAGGCUCCUCGCCAUCUUCGACAUGACGAGACGUUGCAUCAAGUUGGGUAACAGUGUUGAUCCGAAAGGAACUUCGGCGUUAAAACGUAGCUUUCUAAAAGCGUCACAAUAAACUGACGGCCGCUAAGUUUAUCGUUAAGAUUUUCUGACACGUUUUCGUCCUGCGAUGAUUAACCAUCGUAAUAGUUUGAUGGAACAUUGACAUUCAAUGAAACUCAACCUUGUCAACUUCCGCUAUGAGGUAACGCAAUUCUUGACGUCAUCAACACGUGAUUUAUCCCUGCACUGUAAUUGGGCGUACUAGUUCCGGUAAUCUUCACCCGUACGCAUGGUAACCAAAAUAAACACUCAACGAGACCACUUUUAUCUUGGUUAUUUUGUUACGUCAGUAUUGUCAUUUAACCAUAAACGUCUCGUUUUUCAUAAAUAAUAUUAAUGUAUUUUUUGGUACUUUGUUUCUUGAAUAAUAAAUAUGUGAAUUGAUAGUGACAGUACAAAAUUUGCUCUAGUUAUUCUAGGGAAGCUAUUCUCAAAACAAUAAACCAAUUGUAUUUUUACGACCUGUUUAUUUUUCUGUCAUGCAAAAAAAAAACGUACAAUCUUGCACAAUCAGAAUGUUGGCUCUUGAGCUGUAUGAAAUAUUUCUCAAUUGAACGUGAACACAAAAGAGGAAUUUGUGUAACCACGCAACUGUACAAAAUGCAGUCCUGGAUGGCUCCCACACAAGUUAACUGUGAGCAUGGGUUGUUUUAGAGUUGUCUUUACUUAGGAGCGUCAAUACCACACAACCUCCUACAAAACAAGAAUGACACAAAGCAAAUAAUGUUAAUGCCAGAUAACAACUUAAACAAGUUUUGGCUCCCAAGGUAUUUUCUCUGCUCACACCAUGUUUUCUCAAACCUUACCGUGCUUCUGCAAAGCUUGGAUCAACAAAAAUGCAAACAGCGUUAUCUCGAUCCAAAAUAUGUUGUUUUACAAUCUGCAUUUCUUCCUCAGCUUUUCUUUUCUCCUUAUCGUGAUCAGCUGAACAAAGGACAAAAAGACAAUAAUGAAGAAUUUGAUGCAUAAUAUUCCUAAACCAUAGAUGAACGGUCAUAAAAACGUUUAGAUAUAAAUGACAGUAGUUGUCACAUUCAACAACAUUUUGAAUACGACGUCAAACACAAUUCUCUACAUACCUUUGAAUUGCUUAUUGGCUUCAAUCACCUCUUUCUUCUUCUUCUCUACACUUAUCUAAAAAAAACAGUUGUAAAAAUAUAUUUAAAUAUAAAUACAUUGUAUGCUGCUAAUGCUUUUUUGUGCAUUCAAAUUUGCAUUAAAUUUUCAAAAGACAGAGUUUUUUUGUGCAGGUGUACCUAACAAAAUGGCGUGUACCAUUGAAAUGAAACGCAGCAACAACAAAAAAAUAAGGGCUAACGAUAAUGUACGUUGUUGUCCCUACCUUCACUUUGCCGCAUGUCACCAAACUUUUUUGAUGCCCCUGCUCUGCAUUUACAGCGGCUGCUUUGCGAUUCUUCAGCACGUCCACCCUGUUCAGGAUGGAAGUCAGGUUCGUGUUCAGCUCCUUGAUUUGUUUUUUUAACAAGGUGAUGACUUUGUCGCCCCUCUUGGAUUCAGCAAUGCGCUCCACCGUGCGGAUUUUUAAAUGGCUCAGGUGCAGCUCCUGGCGUAUAGUCUGAAGGACCAUCAAGGCCAUUAUGGUGAAACU